rnacentral:rRNA from 1 species
CAGCAGCCGCGGUAAUGCGUAGGGUGCGAGCGUUAAUCGGAAUUACUGGGCGUAAAGCGUGCGCAGGCGGUUAUAUAAGACAGAUGUGAAAUUCCCGGGCUCAACCUGGGACCUGCAUUUGUGACUGUAUAGCUAGAGUACGGUAGAGGGGGAUGGAAUUCCGCGUGUAGCAGUGAAAUGCGUAGAUAUGCGGAGGAACACCGAUGGCGAAGGCAGCCCCCUGGGCCAAUACUGACGCUCAUGCACGAAAGCGUGGGGAGCAAACAGGAUUAGAUACCCCAGUAGUCCCUGUCUCUUAUAC